rnacentral:rRNA from 1 species
UACAGAGGGGGCAAGCGUUGUUCGGAAUUACUGGGCGUAAAGGGCGCGUAGGCGGCCGCCUAAGUCAGACGUGAAAUCCCUCGGCUUAACCGAGGAACUGCCUGCCAGACUGGAUGGCUUGAGACCGGGAGAGGUGAGUGGAAUUCCCAGUGUAGCGGUGAAAUGCGUAGAUAUUGGGAGGAACACCAGUGGCGAAGGCGGCUCACUGGACUGGUACUGACGCUGAGGCGCGAAAGCGUGGGGAGCAAACAGG